GACAGGUGGGAUUCAGGUGUUCUGGCUAUA
rnacentral:piRNA from 2 species